rnacentral:rRNA from 1 species
ACCAGACGAUGCGGUUACCGCGGCUGCUGGCACGGAGUUAGCCGGUGCUUCUUCUGUGAGUGAUGUCCUUCCUGCCGGUUAUUGACCCGCAGGCCUUCUUCCUCACUGAAAGUGCUUUACAACCCGAAGGCCUUCUUCACACACGCGGCAUGGCUGGAUCAGGGUUGCCCCCAUUGUCCAAUAUUCCCCACUGCUGCCUCCCGUAGGAGUCUGGGCCGUGUCUCAGUCCCAGUGUGGCUGAUCAUCCUCUCAGACCAGCUACGGAUCGUCGCCUUGGUGAGCCGUUACCUCACCAACCAGCUAAUCCGACAUAGGCUCAUCCGAUAGCGCGAGGCCCGAAGGUCCCCCGCUUUCCCCCGUAUGGCGUAUGCGGUAUUAGCCUGGGUUUCCCCCAGGUUAUCCCCCCGACUACCGGGCAGAUUCCUAUGCAUUACUCACCCGUCCGCCGCUCGCCNCCAGGGAGCAAGCUCCCCGUGCUGCCGCUCGACUUGCAUGUGUUAGGCCUGCCG